CUUUGUAGCAAUACCGAGCUGGGGGAAGUGGCGAAAGGGGCAGUAAUGUUUGGAUAACCUACCCUGAGGUCGCGGAUAGCCUUUCUAACGAUUGGGUAAUACGCGGCGUUGUAGCGAGGAGGCAUCUCUUUGCUACUAAAGAAUCUCGCCUUGGGAGGGGUCCAAAUGAUAUUAGCUAGUUGGUGAGGUAACGGCUCACCAAGGCGAAGAUGUCUAGCGGGUGUGAGAGCACGACCCGCGUCACUGGCACUGAGACACUGGCCAGACUCCUACGGGAGGCUGCAGUCGAGGAUCUUUGGCAAUGGACGCAAGUCUGACCAAGCGACGCCGCGUGUGCGAUGAAGGCCUUCGGGUUGUAAAGCACUGUCGAGAGGGAGGAAGCCGAAAGGUUGACCUAUCUCUGGAGGAAGCACGGGCUAAGUUCGUGCCAGCAGCCGCGGUAAGACGAACCGUGCGAACGUUGUUCGGAAUCACUGGGCUUAAAGGGCGCGUAGGCGGGCAACCAAGUCCGAGGUGAAAUCCUCCAGCUUAACUGGAGAAGUGCCCCGGAUACUGGUGGCCUCGAGGAUGGUAGGGGCAUCUGGAACUAGCGGUGGAGCGGUGAAAUGCGUUGAUAUCGCUAGGAACUCCGGUGGCGAAGGCGAGGUGCUGGACCAUUUCUGACGCUGAGGCGCGAAAGCCAGGGGAGCGAACGGGAUUAGAUACCCCGGUAGUCCUGGCCCUAAACGAUGAGAACUAGAUAGUGGUCUUGAUAUGAGAUCACUGUCGGAGCAAAAGUGCUAAGUUCUCCGCCUGGGGAGUAUGGUCGCAAGGCUGAAACUC
rnacentral:rRNA from 1 species